rnacentral:rRNA from 1 species
AUUGAACGCUGGCGGCAUGCCUUACACAUGCAAGUCGAACGGCAGCACGGGAGCAAUCAUGGUGGCGAGUGGCGAACGGGUGAGUAAUGCAUCGGAACGUGCCCAGUCGUGGGGGAUAACUGCUCGAAAGAGCAGCUAAUACCGCAUACGACCUGAGGGUGAAAGUGGGGGACCUUCGGGCCUCACGCUAUUCGAGCGGCCGACGUCUGAUUAGCUAGUUGGUGAGGUAAAGGCUCACCAAGGCGACGAUCAGUAGCGGGUCUGAGAGGAUGAUCCGCCACACUGGGACUGAGACACGGCCCAGACUCCUACGGGAGGCAGCAGUGGGGAAUUUUGGACAAUGGGCGCAAGCCUGAUCCAGCCAUGCCGCGUGUCUGAAGAAGGCCUUCGGGUUGUAAAGGACUUUUGUCCGGGAGCAAAUGCUGGUGGCUAACAUCCACCGGAGCUGAGAGUACCGGAAGAAUAAGCACCGGCUAACUACGUGCCAGCCGCCGCUGUAACAC